rnacentral:rRNA from 1 species
ACACCCGUUCCCAUUCCGAACACGGCCGUUAAGCUCGCCAGGGCCGAUAAUACUCGCAAGGGGAAGGUAGGUCGUUGCCUGGA